rnacentral:tRNA from 1 species
GGAAGCGACCCGGCUGGAUGAGGAGCCUGUCUCGAAAACAGGUACGGGUCUCAGGGCCCCUGGGCGUUCGAGUCGCCCCGCUUCCG